CCAGCGCCCAGGACCGUGUCUGGGAAAAGGUCUUUGCCCGGGGAGUGGGAAGAGAGAGGGGAGGGUGAGCAGAGGACAGGCCGGGAGUUUUCCGGGGAACGGAGGAAAGAGCAGUGGAGGAGAUGAGAUCUCUGUUGCCCAGGCUGGAGUCCGGUGGCACAAUCAUAGGUUACUGCAGGUCAAACUCCUGGGCUAAAGCAGUCCUCCCACCUCAGCCUCUCAAGUAGGUGGGACCACAGCUGCCAGGAUGAGGCUGCUGUGUGGCCUGUGGCUGUGGCUGUCCUUGCUGACAGUCCUGCAGGGUCAGACCUCAACCCCCCCGCCACUCCCGCCCCCAAUGCAGAGCUUCCAAGGAAACCAGUUCCAGGGGGAAUGGUUUGUCCUGGGCCUGGCGGGCAACAGCUUCAGGCCGGAGCACAGGGCGCUGCUGAACCCUUUCACCGCAACUUUCGAGCUAAGUGACGCUGGUGGCUUUGAGGUGUGGAAUGCCAUGACUCGGUGAGUGGCUGUCCCUGCCGUUCCAAGCGGGUGAGGAGGAUCCCGG
rnacentral:sRNA from 1 species